AAGGAAAACAAUUAGGAAGUAGUGAAGGCACCUGGAGCACAGAUGCAGUUGUCUCAGUAAAUUACACAGGUGUGAGGGCCUGACCUGUGUUAGUUCACUGCUUGGGAGAUCUGCGGUGUCCCUUAAAUAUGAAUCCAGCUUCAGCACAAGCAGAGUUUAUUUCUUUCCUUCUGGAAGAGAUUAUGGAACUAUCUCUGCUAAACUUGAAGAGAGUAUGAGGAAGAGGAUGAGCCUCUGUGUUGAAGACCCAGUGUUCAAAUGGAAGAAGAUCAUCUUCAGAAAACAGCAAAUACAGGAGUAACAAUAGCCUUUCUCUCCCAAUCUCCCAGCCUUUGGAAAUUGUGUUACUUAUACCUCUUCUGGUCAUAUUUUGCUACUUGAAAUGAUUGUGACAUAAUUGAACACCAUACUAAAGAUCAGUCUUCUCCUUACCUCCUGCAAAUCCCUUCAAGAAAAGGAACAGCAACGCUCAAUUUUCUGUUACACAGAGCCAGAAAAAUAAUGUUCUUCAGCAUGCUGUACUUCCUAUCAGAUGUCAGCUAAUUUAGCAAGGGCAACAUCAGUGUGAGGAGGACAGAAGUGAACUCCAGAGAAGUGUGUAAUAAGGACCCAUACCUGGAGGAUGAAACAAGGUAAAUCUAAAGGCUCUCAGCCUUACGAGUAAGAGAGAUUAACUGCUGAAAAAAGGGAAACAAUGGAUUUGGCAAGCUCAUUCUUUGCAGUGCAGACAAGCUGCCCUUUUGCAAGGCUUGUGCUAGACAAACACAAAUAGCUAGGUUCAGCAUCACUGCUUGAAGCUCAAAGGCCAGUGGGACAAAAAAAAUUCAAAUCUAGAAGAGAUUAUUGUUUUUUAGGGAGUUUUGUCGAUGUAAUUUAUGUUUCUUGAAAGUAACAUGGUUUUAUGUUCGGUACUAUGCAGUCCUUCAUCCUGGCCUUUGCCACCUUAAUUAAAAUCACCUUCAUAGUAUUAAUUUAAUAAAACUUAUCUCCAUAUCCAAGGCUCAAAUCUGACACAUGUAUGUACUUUCCAUUCACAUGCAGCAACACUCAACAUCUGGGACAGUACAUGCAAAUGUCACCCCUAAUCCUAGAAGUAUUUAAGAUGGAGAAAUAACAAGGUGCUUUUCUGUUAUACAAUAUCAGCAAUUUUUGGUUUUGUCAAAAUGUCAUCUAUUUGGCAAAUGAAUUCCUGGAAAUCUGAAUUGAUAUGCCUAAUUUAAAAUAAAUAUUCAGCUUCCAACUGCUGAACAAUGUCCAGGUAUCAUUCAAUAGCUCACUUAACAACAUUACUAGGAUUUGACAACAAAAAAGUCCAAUAGAACAUUACC